rnacentral:rRNA from 1 species
UACGUAGGGUGCAAGCGUUGUCCGGAAUUAUUGGGCGUAAAGGGCUCGUAGGCGGUCCAUCGCGUCGGGAGUGAAAAGCUGGGGCUUAACCCCGGGCCUGCAGUGGGUACGGGCAGACUAGAGUGCGGUAGGGGAGACUGGAAUUCCUGGUGUAGCGGUGAAAUGCGCAGAUAUCAGGAGGAACACCGGUGGCGAAGGCGGGUCUCUGGGCCGUAACUGACGCUGAGGAGCGAAAGCGUGGGGAGCGAACAGG